rnacentral:misc_RNA from 1 species
AACGCAAAUUGCGCCUUCUUUCGGAAGGCAUGUCUGUUUGAGGGCACCAUUUAACAAAUAAUGUGCGCGUCGUUUACGGACGACGUGCGCACGUUGAUGAGCUUUUCCGAAAAAACCAGGUUUUUUUGGUGGCGCAUAAUGAACAGCGUGGGCUUUUUCUUCGAUUCUCGUGUAGUAAAUCUUCAACGCUUGGGUUGAGAAAAAGUGCGUGCCGCGCAAUGGGUGUGGCGAAUUUUACCCCUGCCCCAAUGCCACUCUUUCCCUGCGAAAGAACAAUCUUUUAUUUAGGGCCUCAAAUCAGACAAGAGUACCCGCUGAACUUAA